GACGAACGCUGGCGGCGUGCCUAAUACAUGCAAGUCGAGCGAGAGCGACCGGUGCUUGCACUGGUCAAUCUAGUGGCGAACGGGUGAGUAACACGUGGGUAACCUGCCCAUCAGAGGGGGAUAACAUCCGGAAACGGAUGCUAAAACCGCAUAGGUCUUCGAACCGCAUGGUUUGAAGAGGAAAAGAGGCGCAAGCUUCUGCUGAUGGAUGGACCCGCGGUGCAUUAGCUAGUUGGUGAGGUAACGGCUCACCAAGGCCGUGAUGCAUAGCCGACCUGAGAGGGUGAUCGGCCACAUUGGGACUGAGACACGGCCCAAACUCCUACGGGAGGCAGCAGUAGGGAAUCUUCCGCAAUGGACGCAAGUCUGACGGAGCAACGCCGCGUGAGUGAAGAAGGUUUUCGGAUCGUAAAACUCUGUUGUUAGAGAAGAACAAGUGCUAGAGUAACUGUUAGCGCCUUGACGGUAUCUAACCAGAAAGCCACGGCUAACUACGUG
rnacentral:rRNA from 1 species